GAGUUUGAUCAUGGCUCAGAUUGAACGCUGGCGGCAUGCCUUACACAUGCAAGUCGAACGGCAGCACGGGAGCUUGCUCCUGGUGGCGAGUGGCGAACGGGUGAGUAAUGCAUCGGAACGUAUCCUGGAGUGGGGGAUAACGUAGCGAAAGUUACGCUAAUACCGCAUAUUCUGUGAGCAGGAAAGCGGGGGACCUUCGGGCCUCGCGCUCUUGGAGCGGCCGAUGUCGGAUUAGCUAGUUGGUGAGGUAAAGGCUCACCAAGGCGACGAUCCGUAGCAGGUCUGAGAGGAUGAUCUGCCACACUGGAACUGAGACACGGUCCAGACUCCUACGGGAGGCAGCAGUGGGAAUUUGGACAAUGGGGGCAACCUGAUCCAGCCAUGCCGCGUGAGUGAAGAAGGCCUCGGUUGUAAGG
rnacentral:rRNA from 1 species